UACCCGCAGCUCAAGUGGUGGUCGUUAUUAUUGGGCCUAAAGCGUCCGUAGCUGGCUUGUUAGAUGCCUGGGUAAAUCGAUGCGCUUAACGUAUCGAAUUCCGGGUAGACCGGCAAGCUCGAGACCGGGAGAGGCGUGAGCUACUCGAGGGGUAGGGGUAAAAUCCUGUAAUCCUUCGGGGAGGACCAGUGGCGAAGGCGUCACGCUAGAACGGCUCUGACAGUGAGGGACGAAGCCCUGGGGCGCAAACCGG
rnacentral:rRNA from 1 species